rnacentral:rRNA from 1 species
GACGAACGCUGGCGGCGUGCUUAACACAUGCAAGUCGAACGGAAAGGCCCUGCUUUUGUUGGUCGCUCGAGUGGCGAACGGGUGAGUAACACGUGUGUAACCUGCCCUUGUCUUUGGGGUAUCUUCUGGAAACUGGGGCUCUUACCGGAUAUGAUCUCCUGCUGCGUGGUGUUGGUUGGUAAGUUUCGGCUGUUGGGGAUGGUCUCGCGGCUUAUCAGCUUGUUGGUGGGGUAGUGGCUUACCAAGGCUUUGACGGGUAGCCGGCCUGAGAGGGUGACCGGCCACAUUGGGACUGAGAUACGGCCCAGACUCCUACGGGAGGCAGCAGUGGGGAAUAUUGCACAAUGGGCGGAAGCCUGAUGCAGCAACGCCGCGUGCGGGAUGACGGCCUUCGGGUUGUAAACCGCUUUCGCCUGUGACGAAGCGUGAGUGACGGUAAUGGGUAAAGAAGCACCGGCUAACUACGUG